UGUCUCCUCCUCCCUCUUUAGGAAGGAUUAGCCCCGCAGCCCAAAGCUGCGGGGCUUUUUUU
rnacentral:ncRNA from 1 species